rnacentral:lncRNA from 1 species
GUUAGUGGUUGUGGUGGUGAUGGCAACUGUGGUUUUAUUGGUGGUUGGACGACGGGUUUGUUGGUGUUUGGGCAAAGAUUGGUGUGCUUGUGAUAUGAUGUUUGGGCGGCAGUAUUAGAUCUUGUUGGUGGCUGUGGUUUUGUUGGUAGUUAUGGUAGUAAGGUGGUGGUCUUGAAGUUAAAAAUGGUAGUUUGUUGGAGGUGGCAACUGUGAUGGUGGCGUUAACGAUGGUGGUGGGGGUGGAGCUGCUUUUGGUUGGUUCAAUAGUGAUUGUGGUUGGGUGGGAUAGGUGGUGAAGUUAGGAGUGUUUGUGACCAAUUAAUUGAGAUCGUGACAAAUAAAUUGGAUAUUUUGUGAUAAGAAAAUAACAUGUGACCGAUAAAUUGUAAUCAAUAAAUAAUAUGUGACCUAAAUUUUUGAAUUGUGAUUUAUAAAAUUUGUGAUUUACAAUCGAAUAAAUAAAUUGUGAACUAUAAAUUUUUUUAUUGUGAC